GACGAACGCUGGCGGCGUGCCUAAUACAUGCAAGUCGAACGCAGUUGCGAACGGGUGAGUAACGCGUAGGUCACUGCCUGGUUGCGGGGGAGAGCUAUUGGAAACGAUAGCUAAUACCGCAUACUACCAGAUGGACCUGCGUUGUAUUAGCUAGUUGGGGGGGGAACGGCUCCACAAGGCAACGAUACAUCGCCGACCUGAGAGGGUGAUCGGCCACACUGGGACUGAGACACGGCCAGAACUCUUAGGGAGGCAGCAGGAGGGAAUCUUCGGCAAUUGGGGGAACCCUUACUGCGCAACUCCGGGGUGGGUAAGAAGGUUUUCGGAUUGUAAAGCUCCUUUUUGAAGGAAGCGGUACUUAAACAAAAAGCGACGGCUAACUACGUGCCAGCAGCCGCGGUAAUUC
rnacentral:rRNA from 1 species